AACGAACGCUGGCGGCAGGCCUAACACAUGCAAGUUGAACGAGAACGUACCUUCGGGUGCUAUUAAAGUAGCGGACGGGUGAGUAACGCGUGGGAACCAACCCUAGAGUGGGGAACAACUGUUGGAAACGACAGCUAAUACCGCAUACGCCCUACGGGGGAAAGAUUUAUCGCUCUUGGACGGGCCCGCGUCGGAUUAGCUAGUUGGUGAGGUAAUGGCUCACCAAGGCUACGAUCUGUAGCUGGUCUGAGAGGAUGAUCAGCCACACUGGGACUGAGACACGGCCCAGACUCCUACGGGAGGCAGCAGUGGGGAAUAUUGGACAAUGGGGGAAACCCUGAUCCAGCCAUGCCGCGUGAGUGAAGAAGGCCCUAGGGUUGUAAAACUCUUUCACCUGUGAAGAUGAUGACGGUAACAGGGGAAGAAGCCCCGGCUAACUCCGUGCCAGCCGCCGCGGUAACAC
rnacentral:rRNA from 1 species